CCUACGGGAGGCAGCAGUAGGGAAUCUUCCGCAAUGGACGAAAGUCUGACGGAGCAACGCCGCGUGAGUGAUGAAGGUUUUCGGAUCGUAAAACUCUGUUGUUAGGGAAGAACAAGUGCUAGUUGAAUAAGCUGGCACCUUGACGGUACCUAACCAGAAAGCCACGGCUAACUACGUGCCAGCAGCCGCGGUAAU
rnacentral:rRNA from 1 species